rnacentral:rRNA from 1 species
AUGAAAGAAAAUCCAUCUAUUAGUGUGACCAUUCUCUUAGCAUAUCUUAUUCUGGCCAUCGGUGGAAAGGAAGUAAGGUGUGUCGGACGAGAAGAUAAUGCUAGUGGGUUCCCAUUGAAUCAAAAAGUCAAUAAGACUAUUCUGGUUGAAGGAGGAGAUGUUUAUGACUGCAUCUAUCUGAAUCUACAACCAGCCUUGAGCCAUCCACUACUAAAAGACCACAAAAUCCAGAUGGAACCAAGCUCUUUCCCGCUGAGUAUUUCUACCAAAUCUCCUUCGAUGGAUGUCAUCCCACAAGCCCAAUUGGCCUUAAUUGAGUGCCCUACAGGAACAAUUCCAAUAUUGCGCAACAACAGAAGGGUCCACAUGCCAGUAGAAACUAUUGAUAAAGUGAUUACCAAUGAAGAACAUGAGGUUGCAGGAGUAGAGUAUUUUGAUGUGCUAUAUGGAACGCGGGCUAAAAUAAAUAUCUAUAAUCCUAUGGUGAAGAAUAAUACUAAGGAUCUAAGUGCAUCGUGGAUACAAAUUAAUAAGAUAAUAAAAGCAAGUGUUGCAAAUGGGAUAGGGGCCGGUUCUUGGGUAUAUCCAAGCUACAGUGGUGACAACCUUGCUAGGUUUCAUGUUGCUUGGGUUGAUGGCUUAAAGACUUGCCCUGAUCAUGAUUGUGGGGCUUUCGUGCAAGUUAGCUCAAGUGUUGGUCUAGGAGGAAGACUUAAACCAGUUUCUGUCUAUAAAGGACCACAAUACAUGAUAGAUGUUACUAUUUUCAAGGAUCCAAUGACUAGACAUUUGUGGGUGGCUUAUGGUCCACAAAACAUACAUAUUUGA